rnacentral:rRNA from 1 species
GGAUCCUCUAGAGAUUAGUUUGAUCCUGGCUCAGCGCGAACGCUUGCGGCAUGGCUAAAACAUGCAAGUCGGACGAUGAAAGCUCUUCGGAGCAUAUGAAGUGGCGAAAGGGCGAGUAAUGCGUUUCUACGUACCCCGAGGUCAGGGAUAGCCCAGGGAAACUUGGAGUAAUACCUGAUGUGGUCUCCGGAUCAAAGAUUUAUCGCCUCGGGAGCGGGGAACGUCCUAUCAGGUUGUUGGUGAGGUAACGGCUCACCAAGCCGAAGACGGGUAGCGGGUGUGAGAGCAUGACCCGCCGCAUCGGGACUGAGACACUGCCCGGACUCCUACGGGAGGCUGCAGUAACGAAUCUUCCGCAAUGCGCGAAAGCGUGACGGAGCAAUGCCGCGUGCAGGACGAAGCCCCUCUGGGGUGUAAACUGCUGUCAGGGGCUACCAACACAAUGAGGAACCCCAAAGGAAGGGCCGGCUAACUUCGUGCCAGCAGCCGCGGUAAUACGAAGGGCCCGAGCGUUGCGCAGAAUCACUGGGCUUAAAGCGUACGCAGGCGGACGUGCAGGCGUCUUGUGAAAUCCCUCGGCUCAACCGAGGAAUUGCUCGACGAACCGCACGUCUUGAGGCAGGUAGGGGCUGUCGGAACGAUAGGUGGAGUGGUGAAAUGCGUUGAUAUCUAUCGGAACACCGAAGGUGAAGACAGGCAGCUGGGCCUGACCUGACGCUCAUGUACGAAAGCGUGGGGAGCGAACGGGAUU